UACGUAGGGUGCAAGCGUUGUCCGGAAUUAUUGGGCGUAAAGAGCUCGUAGGCGGUCUGUCGCGUCGAAUGUGAAAACCCGGGGCUCAACCCCGGGCCUGCAGUGGGUACGGGCAGACUAGAGUGCGGUAGGGGAGACUGGAAUUCCUGGUGUAGCGGUGAAAUGCGCAGAUAUCAGGAGGAACACCGGUGGCGAAGGCGGGUCUCUGGGCCGUAACUGACGCUGAGGAGCGAAAGCGUGGGGAGCGAACAGG
rnacentral:rRNA from 1 species